rnacentral:rRNA from 1 species
GGCGGACGGGUGAGUAAUGCCUAGGAAUCUGCCUGGUAGUGGGGGAUAACGCUCGGAAACGGACGCUAAUACCGCAUACGUCCUACGGGAGAAAGCGGGGGACCUUCGGACCUUGCGCUAUCAGAUGAGCCUAGGUCGGAUUAGCUAGUUGGUGAGGUAAUGGCUCACCAAGGCGACGAUCCGUAACUGGUCUGAGAGGAUGAUCAGUCACACUGGAACUGAGACACGGUCCAGACUCCUACGGGAGGCAGCAGUGGGGAAUAUUGGACAAUGGGCGAAAGCCUGAUCCAGCCAUGCCGCGUGUGUGAAGAAGGUCUUCGGAUUGUAAAGCACUUUAAGUUGGGAGGAAGGGNAGUUACCUAAUACUCUUCUGUUUUGACGUUACCGACAGAAUAAGCACCGGCUAACUCUGUGCCAGCAGCCGCGGUAAUACAGAGGGUGCAAGCGUUAAUCGGAAUUACUGGGCGUAAAGCGCGCGUAGGUGGUUCGUUAAGUUGGAUGUGAAAUCCCCGGGCUCAACCUGGGAACUGCAUCCAAAACUGGCGAGCUAGAGUAUGGUAGAGGGUGGUGGAAUUUCCUGUGUAGCGGUGAAAUGCGUAGAUAUAGGAAGGAACACCAG